CGGCGAGAGCCUCCUGCUGAUGAGCGCAUUGUUCGUGAAGUUCUUGUAGCCUGGUCAUCUCCGAGACAGCGGCACGAUAAAAGAAUAUCAGCAAAAGAGCUACUACUCCAGCGCUCCCAUACAGAGCCAGGCGACCGCCUCGGCCUCUUCCAAGCCGCGAACCGCUCAUCCCUAUUGACAAGGGCACCUGUGGGCAAAAUUGGACAAUAGUAUUUUUGGAUGUCAAAACAGAAGUCGUCAAAAUGCAUCAGAAAUAAGAUUCACAAGGAAAGGAAAAACGGGGAGGUGAUGCAGAAGGGUAGUUGGCUACUUAGCAGCUGGAUUGGAGUUCACUGACAUUUUGAAGCACGCGCGAUGCGAGCCUUGUUUCGUUUGCGGCGACGACGACGGAGACGAUAAACGGCGACGCACGUGUACCGUUCGCGCGGAAACGUGACGGCCGCUUGCUCGCAAGCGGAUUCUGCCUGGCUCUUUGCAUGCCUCUGGCAUCCCGCCACACGUCGGAUAUUCACGGAAUAGUGAAUCCUUGAUUACGUACAGUAUAAAGUAAUCUGGUGGAAGAUACAAAUACCUUCUCCAGAGUUAAUUCCUACAUUGAAAAAAAAGUUUGGAUAAAUCUGAGAUGCACUUAGUAAUGCAUUUUUU